rnacentral:lncRNA from 1 species
AGAGCAGGUGACCAGGGGUGACUCAGAAUGGAGCAGGUGGCCAGGGGUGACUCAGAAUGGAGCAGGCGGCCAGGGGUGACUCAGAAUGGAGCAGGCGACCAGGGGUGACUCAGAAUGGAGCAGGUGACCAGGGGUGACUCAGAAUGGAGCAGGUGACCAGGGGAAUAGACGUUAACUACUGAUUAGAACUGUUGGAAAAGGUUGUUUAGUGAAACUAGGGCUGAGGAGAACGAGGAAGUUCAACUUUAAAAUGGAGAACAAAGAACUGAACAUACUGACAUACUGAUUCUUUGAAGAGAAAUUUAGAACUCACUGUAUUCAACAAAUUAUUAUUUUUGCUUUUAAGUGUCUGUGGAAUUCACCGGUGAUCCACCUGCCUCAGCCUCCCAAAGUGCUGGGAUUACAGGCGUGAGCCAUUGUGCCCGGCCAAGAACAGCCUUCCAUUUCUACCUUGCCUGUAGCCUCCCAAACCAAAAUACGGGUCUCAACACCUGGUCCUUGAUCUCCUUGACUCCCGUUGGACCCAAG